rnacentral:rRNA from 1 species
UACGGGGGGAGCAAGCGUUGUUCGGAUUUACUGGGCGUAAAGGGCGCGUAGGCGGCGCAACAAGUCACUUGUGAAAUCUCCGGGCUUAACCCGGAGCGGCCAAGUGAUACUGUCGUGCUAGAGUGCGGAAGGGGCUACUGGAAUUCUCGGUGUAGCGGUGAAAUGCGUAGAUAUCGAGAGGAACACCUGCGGCGAAGGCGGGUAGCUGGGCCGACACUGACGUUGAGGCGCGAAAGCCAGGGGAGCGAACGGG